ACGUAGGUACCGAGCGUUAUCCGGAUUUACUGGGCGUAAAGCGUGUUCAGGCGGCCUAGCAAGUCGGGCAUGAAAUCUCUCGGCUCAACCGAGAGAGGCUGUCCGAUACUGCUGGGCUUGAGGACGGUAGAGGGUGGUGGAAUUCCGCGUGUAGUGGUGAAAUGCGUAGAUAUGCGGAGGAACACCAGUGGCGAAGGCGGCCACCUGGACCGUCCCUGACGCUCAAACACGAAAGCUAGGGUAGCGAACGGG
rnacentral:rRNA from 1 species